GGGCCGGCCCCUGAUGGGGAAUACCCAGUUUCUGUGGUGAGGAGUUUUUCAUUUCCCCACACGAAGUAUUCCAAAUGACCAUGUGUAUGUGUGUAAACACACAGCAGAAAAUAAUUGGUGGACGAG